UACGGAGGGGGCAAGCGUUGUUCGGAAUUACUGGGCGUAAAGCGCACGUAGGCGGAUGUACAAGUUGGGGGUGAAAGCCCAGGGCUUAACCCUGGAACUGCCUUCAAGACUGUACGUCUUGAGUUCGAGAGAGGUAAGGGGAAUUCCUAGUGUAGAGGUGAAAUUCGUAGAUAUUAGGAAGAACACCGGUGGCGAAGGCGCCUUACUGGCUCGAUACUGACGCUGAGGUGCGAAAGCGUGGGGAGCAAACAGG
rnacentral:rRNA from 1 species